rnacentral:rRNA from 1 species
UACGUAGGAGGCGAGCGUUGUCCGGAUUUACUGGGCGUAAAGCGCGCGCAGGCGGCACACUAAGUACGAUGUGAAAUCUCCCUGCUCAACGGGGAGGGUGCAUAGUAAACUGGUGAGCUAGAGGACGGUAGAGGGGGGUGGAAUUGCUGGUGUAGCGGUGAAAUGCGCAGAUAUCAGGAAGAACACCAAUGGCGAAGGCAGCUCUCUGGGACGGUACUGACGCUGAGACGCGAAAGCGUGGGGAGCGAACAGG